GACGAACGCUGGCGGCGUGCCUAAUACAUGCAAGUAGAACGCUGAAGGAGGAGCUUGCUCUUCUGGAUGAGUUGCGAACGGGUGAGUAACGCGUAGGUAACCUGCCUGGUAGCGGGGGAUAACUAUUGGAAACGAUAGCUAAUACCGCAUAACAGUAGAUGUUGCAUGACAUUUGCUUAAAAGGUGCAAUUGCACCACUACCAGAUGGACCUGCGUUGUAUUAGCUAGUUGGUGGGGUAACGGCUCACCAAGGCGACGAUACAUAGCCGACCUGAGAGGUUGAUCGGCCACACUGGGACUGAGACACGGCCCAGACUCCUACGGGAGGCAGCAGUAGGGAAUCUUCGGCAAUGGACGGAAGUCUGACCGAGCAACGCCGCGUGAGUGAAGAAGGGUUUCGGAUCGUAAAGCUCUGUUGUAAGAGAAGAACGAGUGUGAGAGUGGAAAGUUCACACUGUGACGGUAUCUUACCAGAAAGGGACGGCUAACUACGUG
rnacentral:rRNA from 1 species